rnacentral:rRNA from 1 species
AGAGUUUGAUCAUGGCUCAGGAUGAACGCUGGCGGCGUGCUUAAUACAUGCAAGUCGAACGGAGACAAGUAGCAAUACCUGUCUUAGUGGCGAACGGGUGAGUAACGCAUGGGUGACCUGCCCUGAAGUGUGGGAUAACAGCUCGAAAGGGCUGCUAAUACCGCAUGUGGUCGUGAGUUUUAGAAGCUCACGUCUAAAGCGCCAUCUUAGGAUGGUCGCGCUUCAGGAGGGGCCUGUGUCCCAUCAGCUAGUUGGUGAGGUAACGGCCCACCAAGGCGACGACGGGUAGGGGGCCUGAGAGGGUGACCCCCCACACUGGCACUGAAACACGGGCCAGACACCUACGGGUGGCAGCAGUAGGGAAUAUUGCACAAUGGGCGCAAGCCUGAUGCAGCAACGCCGCGUGCUCGAUGAAGGCCUUCGGGUCGUAAAGGGCUUUUCUGGAGGAAGAGCAAGGACGGUACUCCAGGAAGAAGGAUCGGCUAACUACGUGCCAGCAGCCGCGGUAAAACGUAGGAUCCGAGCGUUAUCCGAAUUCACUGGGCGUAAAGCGCGUGCAGGCGGCAAGGUAAGUUGGGUGUGAAAUCUCCCGGCUCAACUGGGAGAGGCCGCUCAAAACUGCCUGGCUAGAGGACGGUAGAGGAAGGUGGAAUUCCCGGUGUAGUGGUGAAAUGCGUAGAUAUCGGGAGGAACACCCGUGGCGAAAGCGGCCUUCUGGACCGUACCUGACGCUCAGACGCGAAAGCUAGGGGAGCAAACGGGAUUAGAAACCCCGGUAGUCCUAGCCGUAAACGAUGUAGACUCGGUGUAGGUAGGGUAAAAGCUAUCUGUGCCCAAGCAAACGCGCUAAGUCUACCGCCUGGGGACUACGGCCGCAAGGUUAAAACUCAAAUGAAUUGACGGA